AUUGAACGCUGGCGGCAGGCUUAACACAUGCAAGUCGAGCGGAGAUGAGGUGCUUGCACCUUAUCUUAGCGGCGGACGGGUGAGUAAUGCUUAGGAAUCUGCCUAUUAGUGGGGGACAACAUUCCGAAAGGAAUGCUAAUACCGCAUACGUCCUACGGGAGAAAGCAGGGGAUCUUCGGACCUUGCGCUAAUAGAUGAGCCUAAGUGGGAUUAGCUAGUUGGUGGGGUAAAGGCCUACCAAGGCGACGAUCUGGAGCGGGUCUGAGAGGAUGAUCCGCCACACUGGGACUGAGACACGGCCCAGACUCCUACGGGAGGCAGCAGUGGGGAAUAUUGGACAAUGGGGGGAACCCUGAUCCAGCCAUGCCGCGUGUGUGAAGAAGGCCUUAUGGUUGUAAAGCACUUUAAGCGAGGAGGAGGCUACUGAGACUAAUACUCUUGGAUAGUGGACGUUACUCGCAGAAUAAGCACCGGCUAACUCUGUGCCAGCAGCCGCCGUAA
rnacentral:rRNA from 1 species